rnacentral:tRNA from 1 species
GCGGGCGUGGUGUAGCCUGGCAUCACGUGGCCCUGCCACGGCCAAGACCCGGGUUCAAAUCCCGGCGCCCGCACCA